GACAGAGGGUGCAAACGUUGCUCGGAAUCACUGGGCGUAAAGCGCACGUAGGCGGAUUUUUAAGUCAGGGGUGAAAUCCUGGAGCUCAACUCCAGAACUGCCUUUGAUACUGGGAAUCUCGAGUCCGGGAGAGGUGAGUGGAACUGCGAGUGUAGAGGUGAAAUUCGUAGAUAUUCGCAAGAACACCAGUGGCGAAGGCGGCUCACUGGCCCGGUACUGACGCUGAGGUGCGAAAGCGUGGGGAGCAAACAGG
rnacentral:rRNA from 1 species